rnacentral:lncRNA from 1 species
CCAGCCGGAGGCCCCAGCCCCGCUCCUGGGGUAGCGCAGCGUCCGCCGCUGCCCGGAGACCGAGGGGAGAAGUUGCAGGGAAUUAAGCGGCUCCGCGCCGCGUCCCGAGGGCCGUUCCCCCCGGGCUCCCACCCGCACGGCCCCCAAGCAGCAGCAACCGGCGCUGAAGUCGCGGAAAGCCCCAAACCCGCCGAGAGCUCCCUGCCGGGGCCGCCGCACAGCCCCGGAGGCGGCCCCGCCGCAGCCCCCGGGCAAAGGAGCGGGGCCGCGGCGGGCAGCGGGGGCACGGCUGUCCCCAGGGGAGGGCACCGGGGCUCGGCAGCCCCGCACCGCCCCGUCCCGUCCCGUCCCGUCCCUCCCAGCCCCGCCGCGGUGAGAGCGCACCUGCCCGCCGCACCGCGCCGCUCCCGAGGCGCCCGGAGCCCGCUGCGGGAUGCAGCCAGCCCUCCGGAAACGCUUCCCAGCCUUACCCAGGAAACGAUUCCGGCCGCCGGCCGCCGCCGCCGCCCCUCCUCUCCUCUCCUCUCCUCUCUCCUCCCGUCUCCUCUCCCUCCUCCCUGGCCGCCGCCCAGCGCCGCGGCCCGCAGGGGGCCGGCCGGGCGGGGCCGCCGCGGAGGGCGCACAACAUGGCGCCGCCGGGGCCUCGGGGCGGCCGGCUCUCACCUGGCGCCCGGGGAGCUUCCCCCUGUGGUGCCCGAGGCUGAGGCGGCCUGCGGGGCAGGUUUCCUGACCCCGAGGGGUAGGGUUUGUGUGGGGAGGCAGCCGUCGUUUGUGCUGCCCCGGGGGAAAAGGGAGAGGCAGGCGGCUGCUCGGCAGAAGGAAUGCUCUGGUGGUGCUCCGGGCAGCCCGGCUGUGGUGGUGGGGCUCCAAAGCCACCCUGCCAGCACAGAGGGAAAGGUCCAGGGUGUGUUCCCAAACGUGGAAAAUGAGCAAAAGGACCAGUCCUGGAAAGCUCGCUGCUUUAAUGCACCUGCAGAACAACAGGAGCAGGUUGCGAGUGGAUCCCUGGGCAUGUCUUGA